rnacentral:rRNA from 1 species
CCUACGGGAGGCAGCAGUGAGGAAUAUUGGUCAAUGGUCGGGAGACUGAACCAGCCAAGCCGCGUGAGGGAUGAAGGUACAGAAUAUCGUAAACCUCUUUUGUCAGGGAACAAAGGCGGGGACGUGUCCCCGGAUGAGUGUACCUGAAGAAAAAGCAUCGGCUAACUCCGUGCCAGCAGCCGCGGUAAUACGGAGGAUGCGAGCGUUAUCCGGAUUUAUUGGGUUAAAAGGGUGCACAGGCGGUCUGUUAAGUCAGCGGUAAAAGCCCGUGGCUCAACCCCGGCCCGCCGUUGAAACUGGCAGUCUCGAGUUGGAGAGAAGUAUGCGGAAUGCGCGGUGUAGCGGUGAAAUGCAUAGAUAUCGCGCAGAACUCCGAUUGCGAAGGCAGCAUGCCGGCUCCACACUGACGCUGAGGCACGAAAGCGUGGGUAUCGAACAGGAUUAGAUACCCUAGUAGUC